UGACAUCAGUUGCCUUCCCUUUGUGCGUCGAUGCCAUCAUUCCAUCAUAGAAGGCCAGCAGACCUUCCCUUGGUGAAGCCAUGCUGGCUGUCUCGAAUCACCUGCUUGUCCCUCGUUCCUUAACAUGUCUUCCAGGAGCAUCUGCUCAUGAUCUUCCCAGGAACAGAGUUCCCAGGGACUUCGUCUGACAGCUACAGUUUUUCAAAUAUAAUGGAGAGCAUCAUGGCAACCCCAUCAGCAAGCUCUCUUAGGACCCUGGGAUGCAUGUUGUCUGGCUCCAUGGACUUGUACACAUUCAGUCUCAUAAGUUGGUCUUGGACUUGCUCCACCAGUACAGUGGGAGGGAGUUUGCUCCUGCAGUGGGGAGAAGUUUCCUACCUGAUAUAUUCAGCCUUUUUUAUUAGCAAAGAUUGAAACAGAUCAAGAAUAAGAUUCUCACUUCUAUUUUUUUCUGGUAACAUGAUUUUGCUUAUUUAUUUAAGCACUUCAAUAUUCAGGAAUAUAUCGAGUAGCCUAUAGUGACUUUAUCUGGAGAAAGAUCAUCUAUUUUUCUUAACUUCAUUUAACUUCAGUUACAAUAUACUUUACAGUAAUUAACAUAUUUGGUGGAGAUUUAUUUCAGGUAUUGUCAGAACAACCAAAUUCUGCACAUGUGAUGUUUAUACAUUUGAAUUGCACAUUAGUUCCCCAAGUCACUAUAAUGUAUGGAAGUUAUCAGUAUGCAAGCAAAAAGACCUGCUUUGAGGCAUGUUGAAAAGGUUGCCACAAACAGUAGUUGGAUUAGAAUAUAUAUGGAGCAGAACAAAACAUGGAAAUUGGAGCAGCAGGCAUAAGUACUGUAGGACACAGGGAGAGUAGAUGGCAGCAUGCUGUAGCCUUCUUUAAGAAAAUCUUCAAGCUAGAGGAAAUAUUUUUUAGGGAUGUCCAUAUGAGAAAGCAGGAAGUGCAGGGUCUGUCAUCAGCCAAAAGGAGGAGGCAGGUGUGCAUAUGAGUGCUGGAUGGAGGACGAGGAUCAUAGAAUCACAGAAUCAUAGAAUGGCCUGGGUUGAAAAGGACCUCAGAGAGGAUAGCUGGACGUGGGUUAGGUGAAAGAAGGAGGAGGAGAGGGGAGUCUUGGUGGGGACAGAUUUCAAUGGCAGCUAGCCUGGUAUUACGCCUCACAUGUCUUCUAUGCCUGUGACUGCUUUAUGUAUGCUUCUACCUAUUUCUGUCAUACUACUAUUAGAAAGAAUAAUGAACAGUAUGGAAGAUGGAUUUGUUGGCUGCACAGAAAAUAUGAACUUAAGAAGAUCCAAACUGAGACUAAAGAGUAUUUCUCAAUCUCAUAAACUGUUUGACAAACUUAGUUGCAACCAUACAUGAGAGCCAGCUUGAGAACAUCACACAAGAGAUUUGGUUCUCGUAAAGUCUGCCUUAAGUCAGCUAGUGGACACUAAUUCAUGUAGAAAUACAGCACAUGACUGUGUUAAAAAAGUUAAACACUUUUGAGCAGAGUUAGAACACAAAAGCUGAUCACAAAAGUUUUGAGUCUUCCUUUGAUAUCAAACAUGGCAAUCUAUUUAAAGCAAUUUUUUUCCCCAAAAAGAAGAGAACAUGUAGUUCUCUUCUAUUAGUAGAAAUAUUAGUAGAAAAAUUAGUAAAUUUUUCAGCUUGAAACACUCUCUGAGAAAAGUAAUAUUUAAUUGGAUAUUUUCUAAACAAAACCUUAUGCUUUCAUUUUCAUUUUGGUAUUUUUACUAAGUGCAAUAAGUGGUACGUAUCUAACUAUUUUUUUUAAGAGAUGUGUGAAACUCUUGACCUGAAGUUCUGUUUCAAGUAUUAUUGCUGCUACUGCUGUGGCUGCUGUUAUUCCUGGUAUUACUUCAUUUCACAGGAGGAAAUACAACUUCUGUAAAUGUGCAUGAUGACUGCAGUGUGCCACAGAUGAUUUGAGUUCCACCGCACAAUUGUGAAACAUUCCCCUUAUCCACAGCAUAAUCAAAUCAGAGGUGUACGCACACACACCUCAAAUAAAUGUAUUAUGAACCA